GCUCACAUACUGUUUGGUACGCACAGUGGCCUAACAUGUAAGGAUAAUAGUUACACCUCAGGAAGUAAUUACAAAGCAACUUAACACAUCUCUUUAAAAAAUACAAGUAGUGAAAAAGACAUCAACCAUAACUUAGUCAAUAAAAUCACACCAGUAUUUGUAUGUACAUAGAUUGUAUCUAUCAAAGUUUAUGGGAGAAUUCAAAGUAGACUGAUGAUUCCAAAAUUGGCUGAUGUUUUAUUAGACUAAAUAUAUGCUCUGGAACUUUAAUCUGUUCACAGAUAGACAUAUUACCACUAGCCACACGCAGCUUUUAAAUAAAGAGAUGCUCAACAGCCACUUGGACUCCCACAUUGGGCAAUGGAGAUACACUCCCAUCACCACACAAAGUGCUACUGGGCAGUACUGAUGGAGGGACUACGACUGUAAGAAAUUAAACCCACUUCUCUAGCAUAUACUCUUGUUCAACGACUCAAUGAAAACCAAACAGCAUUAACAGAAAUACAUACUCCUGCUAUAGUGGGGUUGGGGGAGUGAGUGAGGUGAGCAAUGUUGGGCCAGAUAUUGUUAACAAAACAUACUUUGUAACUCUGUCUCUGAGUACAACUCAUCUGAGUACAGAAGGUUCUUCACACACCUCCAUAAAAAGCCUGAAGUCAAAACUCCCUCGAAGGAUGCUCACUAGACCAGAUGGAAGAAUAGUGUGUGGCUCUAAGCUAGAAAACAUCCUUUAGAGGACCUAAAAUUGUUUAAGAAUUGCUGGAAGAUAUCUUUUCAAUCUACAGAGUUUGGAUUAGUUCAUUACAACUCUUAGGACUUGCCACCAGUCAUUAUUCUAAACAUCUUGUCACCUAUCUCAGACACAGUUUUACUUGCCAAUGUGUUCAAGGAUUCUUAUGACUUAUUUUUGAAGCAUCAGUUUUAUAGAUGAUGGGUGUGUGCGCUGUCAUGUCUAACUCUUUGUGACCCCCACAGACUGUAGCCCACCAGGCUCCUCUCAUCCAUGGAAUUCUUCAGCUAAGAAUACUGCAGUUGCCAUUUCCUCCACCAGGGGACCCUACCAACCCAGGGAAUCAAAUCCACAUUUCUUGCGUCUCCUGCAUCGGCAGGUGGAUUCCUCACCACUAGCACCACCUGGGAAGCCCCUCAUGAUUGACAUUUUUAGUCAAGUUUCAGAAAAGCACACCCAAAGGAAAAAUUCACUAGGGGCCUAACUUCACUGAAGUAGUUAAGAUUCAUCUAUCCAGCUGGCCCAAAAUCACAGAUUCCUUUCUGUAGGCAAGGAUGCGUCCUCUCUAUUUCCAAAAUUUGUUCUAACUGCCAAUUCACCUCAAAC
ensembl:lncRNA